AGCGAACGCUGGCGGCAGGCUUAACACAUGCAAGUCGAACGGUCCUUCGGGAUAGUGGCGGACGGGUGAGUAACACGUGGGAACGUACCCUUAGGUUCGGAACAACACAGGGAAACUUGUGCUAAUACCGGAUAAGCCCUUCGGGGGAAAGAUUUAUCGCCUUUGGAGCGGCCCGCGCCUGAUUAGCUUGUUGGUGAGGUAAUGGCUCACCAAGGGUACGAUCAGUAGCUGGUCUGAGAGGAUGGCCAGCCACACUGGGACUGAGAAACGGCCCAGACUCCUACGGGAGGCAGCAGUGGGGAAUCUUGCGCAAUGGGCGAAAGCCUGACGCAGCCAUGCCGCGUGGAUGAUGAAGGUCUUAGGAUUGUAAAAUCCUUUCACCGGGGACGAUAAUGACGGUACCCGGAGAAGAAGCCCCGGCUAACUUCGUGCCAGCCGCCGCCGUAA
rnacentral:rRNA from 1 species